UAUAAAAAACGCAGAAUAUCUAAAAAGCACUUAUUCAGAUCUACAAAGGAAGGGGGACUGGGUCUUCCAAUGUUCAAAAAUUAUUAUUGGGCAUCAAAUCUGAACGCAUUGUGUAAGGAAGGGAUAGUAGUUCUUUUAUUGGGACACGAUGGACAGAUUCCGGCCAGAGAAUCCUUUAAUCAUCUUUAUUGAUGAAAGGUAGAUGUGAAUGUGUGUGUGUGUGUGUGUGUAUUGGUGUUGAACAGGACAUUCAACAGAUCUUGGAUGAGCUAACCCUAACCCAAAGGGAAAAGAUGGUGGCCUACAUUAAUAAUUUGGAGUAUGAGAAGCGGGUGGCCUCUCUCAACGCUAGGAAGGAGAUUUCAGAUUUCCAGUUCCAAACUACGAAGGAGAAUGAUGCGGCCUUGCAGGAGAAGGAAAAAGAGUGCGCGGCGGAAAAAGCAAAGCGGACUUACGCCAAGCUACGCAGGAGAAGGAAGAAGCCUUAGACCGAACAGCGAAGGAGAAAGAAGAGCUGUUGAAGGAGAAAGAAGAGGUGUUGAAGGAGAAAGAAGAGGCCUUGAAGGAGAAGGAAGAGGCCUUGAAAGAGAAAGAGGCCUUAAAGCGAGUUGAAAAGGAGAACAAGGCCUUACGCCAAGAGAAGGCAGAUCUCUUGAAGUGGGUGAAAGACUACCCAGAGGAGAAAACCAGUUUGACAAAGGAGAUUAACGACUUAAAAAAGAAAGUUAUCGACUUAGAAAUGAAGUUGAUUCAGAGAGAAUGUGAAGUUGAUGAAGUUGAGUGCCCAGAAGAUGAAGUUGAGCGCCCAGAAAACAAGAAAGAAGUUCCCAGAGAGCGCGAGAGAGAUGACCCUGAUCAAGGUACCAGCCAGGACCUGGGAAAGGCAAAAAGAAAGAAGUACACUCGAGUUCCCAAAGAGCGUCGUCAGAAAGAUGAUAGUAGUGAAGGGACCAGCCAGGACGCGGACGAUGAGAUGCCGCCGGCCAAAAAAGACACAAAAAAAUAACAAGAACAAAUAAGGACCGGUACCAUGGGCUCAGUGCUGCAGAGAGGUGUGGUACCAUGUGGCACCACUUCUUCAGUCUCUUUAAUCACACUCGUAUUUUGUUCGGGAGUCGGAUAAGAUGGCAUUCUCAAUUUCCUUAGCUACUUUCUUUUAAAAAAAAAGCUG